UGUUAAAAAUUUCAUUCAUUUCUAUUGUUAAAAACUUAAGUAGCUGACGGAAUAACCAAAGAGUUACACAUGACAUGCCACGUUUAACUCAUGUUGACAUAUAGGAAUCAGUUUUUAACAAUAGGAAUAGAUAAAGUUUUUAAUA
rfam:Gossypium hirsutum cultivar TM-1 unplaced genomic scaffold scaffold516.1, whole genome shotgun sequence